rnacentral:rRNA from 1 species
UGGCGGCGUGCCUAUACAUGCAAGUCGAGCGGACAGAUGGGAGCUUGCUCCCUGAUGUUAGCGGCGGACGGGUGAGUAACACGUGGGUAACCUGCCUGUAAGACUGGGAUAACUCCGGGAAACCGGGGCUAAUACCGGAUGCUUGUUUGAACCGCAUGGUUCAAGCAUAAAAGGUGGCUUCGGCUACCACUUACAGAUGGACCCGCGGCGCAUUAGCUAGUUGGUGAGGUAAUGGCUCACCAAGGCAACGAUGCGUAGCCGACCUGAGAGGGUGAUCGGCCACACUGGGACUGAGACACGGCCCAGACUCCUACGGGAGGCAGCAGUAGGGAAUCUUCCGCAAUGGACGAAAGUCUGACGGAGCAACGCCGCGUGAGUGAUGAAGGUUUUCGGAUCGUAAAGCUCUGUUGUUAGGGAAGAACAAGUACCGUUCGAAUAGGGCGGUACCUUGACGGUACCUAACCAGAAAGCCACGGCUAACUACGUGCCAGCAGCCGCGGUAAUACGUAGGUGGCAAGCGUUGUCCGGAAUUAUUGGGCGUAAAGGGCUCGCAGGCGGUUUCUUAAGUCUGAUGUGAAAGCCCCCGGCUCAACCGGGGAGGGUCAUUGGAAACUGGGGAACUUGAGUGCAGAAGAGGAGAGU